rnacentral:rRNA from 1 species
GAUGAACGCUGGCGGCGUGCUCAACACAUGCAAGUCGAACGAUGAAGCCCAGCUUGCUGGGUGGAUUAGUGGCGAACGGGUGAGUAACACGUGAGUAACCUGCCCUUAACUCUGGGAUAAGCCUGGGAAACUAGGUCUAAUACCGGAUAGGAGCGCCUACCGCAUGGUGGGUGUUGGAAAGAUUUAUCGGUUUUGGAUGGACUCGCGGCCUAUCAGCUUGUUGGUGAGGUAAUGGCUCACCAAGGCGACGACGGGUAGCCGGCCUGAGAGGGUGACCGGCCACACUGGGACUGAGACACGGCCCAGACUCCUACGGGAGGCAGCAGUGGGGAAUAUUGCACAAUGGGCGCAAGCCUGAUGCAGCGACGCCGCGUGAGGGAUGACGGCCUUCGGGUUGUAAACCUCUUUCAGUAGGGAAGAAGCGAAAGUGACGGUACCUGCAGAAGAAGCACCGGCUAACUACGUGCCAGCAGCCGCGGUAAUACGUAGGGUGCGAGCGUUAUCCGGAAUUAUUGGGCGUAAAGAGCUCGUAGGCGGUUUGUCGCGUCUGUCGUGAAAGUCCGGGGCUUAACCCCGGAUCUGCGGUGGGUACGGGCAGACUAGAGUGCAGUAGGGGAGACUGGAAUUCCUGGUGUAGCGGUGGAAUGCGCAGAUAUCAGGAGGAACACCGAUGGCGAAGGCAGGUCUCUGGGCUGUAACUGACGCUGAGGAGCGAAAGCAUGGGGAGCGAACAGG